rnacentral:lncRNA from 1 species
CCGUCAUCUAUGUCAGUUAAGAAAGCGUAUACCUCCACUACCAGGUGUAGCCCUAUAACGCCGCUUUCCUGGAGCGGCGGCGCUGGUUCACCUAGUGACGACGGCUAUGAUGAGUCUAGCCGUCCACCGUCUUCCGAUCUAUCAUCCGCCUUCAGAUCCAAGGUUUGUAUUCCCUUUUCUCACUCAUCUCAUCUUCCACUUCUCAUAAAAUCGGCGGCCUAACAUUUUCCUCAUCGCCGCCGUUUCCUCUCUUUCUAUAGCUGGCAUCUCUGCCUUUGUAAAUUGAGUCCGAAGAUUAAGUUUCCGAUUAUGUAGUUGAACCUUCUCCAUUUUCUGACACAGCUCUCUAUUUGACCAGUUACACUUUCGUCUGUCAUCCUUUUUUCACCUCACCGGCGCUGACAAGGUGUAGUCCUAUAACGCCGCUUUCCUGGAGCGGCGGCGCUGGUUCACCUAGUGACGACGGCUAUGAUGAGUCAAGCCGUCCACCUUCUUCCAAUCUAUCAUCCGCCUUCAGAUCCAAGGUUCGUAUUCCCUUAUUUCACUCUUCUCAUCUUCCACCACUCAAAAAAUCAGAGGCCUAGCAUUCUCCUAAUCGCCGCCGAUUCCUCUCCUUCUAUAGCAGGCAUCUCUGUCUUUGUCAAUUGCAUCUGAAGAUUAUGUUUCCGAUUAUGUAGUUGAACCUUCUCCAUUUUCUGACACAGCUCUCUAUUUGGCCAUUUACACCUCCGUCUGUCAUCCAUUUUUCAGCUCACCGAUACUGAAGUCAGCUUCCCAGUCAUCGGAUCUGUGAAAGCGUCGUGUGUUUGACCGGACUACCCUUGAGAUGUCGUAGGUGGGUGGGUGUGGAAAUUCCCUUUUUUCUUCAUAUUUCGCAGUGUGAGUUUUAGAGGUCACUUUAUGUUCAUUGAGGAGACGAUCCUUCUUUGCCUUUUCCUUUCGCAAUACGUUUUCUAGUGUAGCCGUAAUGACCAUUUUACCCCUUGUCACCAGCCUAAUUUUCUUCAGUUUCGUCUUGGGAAACUAAAAUUUAGAGUCAGCGAGUCAAACUCGUGUUGUUGUAACGCCGGUUCGAUCCGCCGCCGCGCCAUGGACGCACGCGGUGUUAGCUGUCACCUUUUCUUUCCUCUUUAUUCUUUCAAAUUUUUUAUUAUGUCGCUUUUGCUGUAUUUUGAUUUUUUUCUCUAUUUUUUUUAUUUUCCGGGUUGCUCCGGAAGGAGAUAUCGGGUAAUUCACGGUCGGAGAAGUUACAUCGUUUCACGUGAGGAGGGUAAGUUGUAAGAAAGGGAUGGAGAAAAAUCACGGUUUUCCUCUUCUCCGCUUCCUUUUCUUUUUCCUUCCCCUCCGUUAGAAUGACCAAAUUACCCUCCGGUUCUAUUUUUCACUUUUUUUUAGAGUAGUUUUUUUUUUUCUUUUCGGGGUAAGCCUUUUGAUUUGAUGUUCCAUUCAGAUCUGGUGAAGCUUCCCUCGAACAAAAUGAACUUUAAACGUUUUUCUAUUUGUCCUACUAUUAAUAUUAGUAUAUAAAAAUUCAUUUUUUUUUCUUGUAAGUGGUUGACUCAGAGUUUCGGGGAAAAGAAAUCCGUCUUACUUGUAUUUUUUUUAGUUUUGGAAUUUAUAAAGGGAGUAUGUAUUGGUUGAUUCCGGGAAUUUGCGUAUAGUUUUUACAUAUUUAGGUUUGGUGGAAGUCAGUUGGUUUUUGUUGAAUAGCGUGUAAGGCUGGGUGUGGACCCAAGACAUUUUGUUACUACUUCUUAACCCAGCAGCAUCUCGCCCUUUUUUCUUUCAUUUUUGUUCCUUUUCUCCCUUUCCAUUAUUUUGCAUUUUUUGGGGGGUCAAACUAGUCUUUUUAUCCAGAUCUGAAAGAAGUAGUGUAGGUGCUGUUGUUGGUGUACUUGUUUGUGAGUAAUUUAUAAUUCUGGCGCUUAUAAAUGAGGAAGCAUCUUCUCAGUAAAAACAGAAGGCAUCCAAAGAUUUUUUAAGUCAGAUUAUUACUUUAUUUUACUAAUUUCCUUCUGUUAACGAUGCUAGUUUUAUAUGUAUAUAUAUUUAUUUAUUUAUCUAUUUUUGACAAUUUUAAUAUAAAUUGCGUUUAAUUUAAGUCUCACCUUUUCUUUUCUCUACUUCUUUAAUAUUUUCUCAUUCUCAUUCUAAUCAUUUUACACUUCUUAAUUAAUAUAUUCCAUUUUAAAUUAUUCUCCCAGUUUUUGUCUUUUUGGGGUCCCUUCUUGGCCGGCCGAUUAGGAAUGAGAUUUCUGGUAAAUCAUCGGCCGGAAAAGGAUAGGUAAAAUGGGUGAGUUUCCUUAGUUUACGGCAGGAAAAAAAUAAAAGAGAGAGUAACUGGGUUGGAUGUCAUGUCACAUAAGUGGACUCGUGAGAAUCAUUCAUCCCUCUGAUGAAUAAGUCAGAGGUUGAAUCCACGAUAUCCUAUGCCCAACAGUUUUGGCCGGUCUUGUUUAUAUGCAAACCCCCAUAACUGUACUUUCUAAUACGUGUCAUCUUUCUAUUGGCUCUCUCCAUGUGAGAUUCCGUCUCUUUUUUUUUUCCUUUAGAAUUGUUGAACAGUAUAAACCACAUCACAUCGACUUCAUCCACAUUGGGCUUACUUGGGCUGGGCCUACAUUUAUUACUUAUUUCUUUUGGUUAGAUAUAAGUGAGUGGUCCCAUUUGUUGGACCUAAGACUUCUUCUCCUGCCCUUGGGCCCAAUGUCCCUUCCCACAAUGAGCCUUAGCUACUGUGGUGUCCUCUUAUUUUGUGCUAAAAAUUGUUAUCUCUUGUGUCACUCUCUCCUCUAGUAGCUGAGGACUACCUUUGUACUAGGAAAAAAAAUUAUCAAAGCUAUUUAUCUUUUGGGGUGCAAUUUUAUAUAUAUAUAUAUAGCUGAGGACUACCUUUGUAUAUAUAUAUAUAUAUAUAUAUUCAGUGAUUAAUGUUGAUGAUACGUUUUGCAGGGCUUUUUCACUAAUGAAACAAGUAAUAUGAGCAGCAGC